UACGAAGGGGGCAAGCGUUGUUCGGAAUUACUGGGCGUAAAGGGCGCGUAGGCGGUGCACUAAGUCAGGCGUGAAAGCCCUGGGCUCAACCCGGGAAUUGCGCUUGAUACGGGUGCGCUUGAAUCCAGGAGAGGUUGGUGGAAUUCCCAGUGUAGAGGUGAAAUUCGUAGAGAUUGGGAAGAACACCGGUGGCGAAGGCGGCCAACUGGACUGGUAUUGACGCUGAGGCGCGAAAGCGUGGGGAGCAAACAGG
rnacentral:rRNA from 1 species